UACGUAGGGUGCUAGCGUUGUCCGGAUUUAUUGGGCGUAAAGAGCGUGUAGGCGGCCAGGUAGGUCUGCUGUGAAAACUCGAGGCUCAACCUCGAGACGUCGGCGGAAACCAUCUGGCUAGAGUCCGGAAGAGGAGAGUGGAAUUCCUGGUGUAGCGGUGAAAUGCGCAGAUAUCAGGAAGAACACCCGUGGCGAAGGCGGCUCUCUGGGACGGUACUGACGCUGGGACGCGAAAGCGUGGGGAGCGAACAGG
rnacentral:rRNA from 1 species